rnacentral:rRNA from 1 species
GACGUAGGGCGCGAGCGUUGUCCGGAUUUACUGGGCGUAAAGAGCGCGCAGGCGGUCGUUCAAGUCGAGUGUGAAGGCCCCCGGCUCAACUGGGGAGGGUCACUCGAUACUGAUCGACUUGAAGGCAGGAGAGGGAAGCGGAAUUCCCGGUGUAGUGGUGAAAUGCGUAGAUAUCGGGAGGAACACCAGUGGCGAAGGCGGCUUCCUGGCCUGUUCUUGACGCUGAGGCGCGAAAGCUAGGGGAGCAAACGGG